CUAACUGACCUAAGACAGGGAAUCUUUACUAGGAUUUAAAUGUCAGGAAUUGUAAAAAACGGAGUUUAAAUGUAUUUGGCUAAGAUGUAUGUAAACUUCCGACCUCAACUCAGUACAGUGAUACUCAGUUGUGCUCUGAUAGGUCGUUGUUACUUCCUGGUUGUUUCGUUAAUUUCCAAUCAGACGUGUCGGCCACUCGCUGCCUGCCAGAUGUCAGAUGUCUUUGCCACACUCGGGGCACAGGAUGUCGUCACGCUCGGUGAGGAAACCCCGGCCCACCAGGGAGACGGAGCACUUCUUACAGUUGAAGCAGUCGUUGUGCCACUGGCGCUCUUCAAACGAGAUGUACUUACUGCCACCCAGACCUGAGAGAACGGGGAGAGAUGAACACAUGCUGUUAUCAAAAGAUCAGUGAUUGGGGAAGGAAGAAAGGUGGAGAACUUUAAUAAGGAUUCAAACAGGGCCACAGUGUACAGCGUGAUGGGGCCCAUCCCUGGGUUACACCAGAGCCCAGCUGAUCCCCUGGAAGGGGAACCUUUUCAACCUUUGAACCGACCAGAGCUCCAGUACACUGACAUGGAUCCCUUGAUAGAAAUUGCUUUGAUGGACCGGCCGUGACACAAGGUCACAAGGAGGAGGGAUUCAAAUUAGCAAUCAGAGAGAGGACAUCCAUACUGAAAUGGGUAUACCCAAGAGGACGCUCGUAUAUCAUAUACACACAUCUCCUCUCCAGGGUUGACCACAACAGAGAGGACAUCCAUACUGAAAUGGGUAUACCCAAGAGGACACUCGUAUAUCAUAUACACACAUCUCCUCUCCAGGGUUGACCACAACAGAGAGGACAUCCAUACUGAAAUGGGUAUACCCAAGAGGACACUUGUAUAUCAUAUACACACAUCUCCUCCCACCAGCCUCCUCUGGUGUCAAUGCAUACUGAGCAUGUUAUCCACCUCUCGCUUCAUGCCAUAGCGGUUGUUCUCUCUGUACAAAUGUGUCUCUUAAAAACACUGGGAUUAAAUUCAAUCUACAUCAGGCUAGUUAUAUUAGAUAUGAUAUUAUACUGAACAAAAAUAUAAACGCAACAUAUAAAGUGUUUGUACCAUGUUUCGAGAGCUAAAAUAAAAGA